AUUGAACGCUGGCGGCAGGCCUAACACAUGCAAGUCGAGCGAGCGGCGGACGGGUGAGUAAUGUCUGGGAAACUGCCGGAUGGAGGGGGAUAACUACUGGAAACGGUAGCUAAUACCGCAUACCAUCAGAUGUGCCCAGAUGGGAUUAGCUGUUAGGUGGGGUAACGGCUCACAUAGGCGACGAUCCCUAGCUGGUCUGAGCGGGUGACCAGCAAAAUGGGAACUGAGCCACGGUCCAGACUCCUACGGGAGUCAGCAGUGGGGAAUAUUGCACAAUGGGCGCAGGCCGGAUGCAGCCAUGCCGCGUGUGUGAAGAAGGCCUUCGGGUUGUAAGGCACUUUGAGCGGGGAGGCGUUACCCGCAGAAGAAGCACCGGCUAACUCCGUGCCAGCAGCCGCGGUAAUUC
rnacentral:rRNA from 1 species